GCCCAGAUAGCUCAGUUGGUAGAGCAGGGCAUUGAAAAUGCCCGUGUCGGCAGUUCGAUUCUGUCUCUGGGCA
rnacentral:tRNA from 1 species